UACAGAGGGUGCGAGCGUUAAUCGGAAUUACUGGGCGUAAAGCGUGCGUAGGCGGUUAUAUAAGUUAGGUGUGAAAUUCCUGGGCUUAACCUGGGAACUGCGCCUAAUACUGUGUAGCUAGAGUAUUGUAGAGGAAAGUAGAAUUUCCGGUGUAGCGGUGAAAUGCGUAGAUAUCGGAAGGAAUAUCAGUGGCGAAGGCGACUUUCUGGACAAAUACUGACGCUGAGGCACGAAAGCAUGGGGAGCAAACAGG
rnacentral:rRNA from 1 species